rnacentral:rRNA from 1 species
AAGCAUACYUCUAAAAGUUAAGUAUGCAACUAUGAUUUAUACCCAUUUACGUCAGGUCAAAGUGCAGCCAAUGAAAAGGUGAUGAUGGGUUACAACCUAAAUAAAGACACAAACUAAAACACUAAGAGUUUUAUGAAGGUGGACUUGGGUGUAAUAUUAAUUCAAAAUUAAAAUGAAAAUGAAUCUAAGACAUGCACACAUCGCCCGUCACUCUCGCCCAAAGGCG